AGAGUGUUAUGAUGUUGGAGGCGACUCCUAGUCUAGCUCAACGCUUUCCCUGCUGAACUCGUUUAGCAGGG
rfam:Enterococcus sp. 4G2_DIV0659 scaffold00002, whole genome shotgun sequence.